AAAAACGCAUUGCCAUUGCGCAGUAUAAGAGUUCAUCCGGUAAACGUGUUCCCAUCGUAGUUUAAACACGUCCCCUUCAUCGAAUGAAAAAAGCAUCUGCCUCAAUUGAGCACACGCAGAAGCAGUGCUAGCUGCAUUGUUCACAUACUCGCCUCAUGUACAUCUAGAGGAUUUAAGCAGCAUCCAUUGGAUGACAUGUCCCGCUUGUGCCAACAAAACAGCUCGGACCCUUCGAGGCGUGGACUCAACAAGACCUCUGAACGUGUGCUGUAGUAUCUAGCAACAAGAUGUUCACAACAGAUCCUUUAAGUCCUGAAAGUUGUGAGGUGGGGCCUCCGUGGAUCGGACUUGUUUGUCCAGUACGUCCCACAGAUACUUCAUCGAUUUGAGAUCUGGGGAAUUUGGAGGCCAGGUCAACACUCUGAACUCUUUGUGAUGUUCCUCAAACCGUUCCUGAACAAUUUUUGCAGUUUCGCAGGGCGCAUUAUGCAGCUGAAAGAGGCCACUGCCAUUAGGGAAUACCGUUGCCACGAAGGAGUGUACGCCAGCAUGCCUUCUUCCCAUAGUGCAUCCUGGUGCCAUCUCUUCCAUCCAUCUAUCCAUUUUCUAUACCGCUUAUCCUACAGGGUCGCGGGGAACCUUGAGCCUAUCCCAGGGAGCAUGAGGCACAAGGCGGGGUACACCCUGGACGGGGUGCCAAUCCCUCGCAAGGCACAUUCUGACCCGCUACUUUACUUUUGUACACUGGCACUUCACCACAUGCAAGUGACAUGUUAAUAUGCGUGCAAUUUACAUUCCGAAUGAAUGCAGGAUUCACGAUCCAGAUGUUUUGAGUAUUUUUUUUAAACCCCCCCCCCCCCCCCCCCCCCCCCCCGUAGUAUAAACUCAGAGCCAUACUCAGAGCUGCAGCAGAGAUUAGCUUCAUUGACUGAAUGAUCGAUGUGAUCACCAGCCGUAUAAGAAUCACAGCAUUGAUCCGUAUCUGCAGAGGUCCUUAUGAAACCUGCUUUGCAAACACAAAUCCUCAAUAAAUGGCUGCAAAUUUAAUCCGGAGCUUUUUUUUUCAUUUGCAAGUCAUUCUUUGUCACACUUGAGGAUCAACAUUAGUCUCUUAGGAUGUGGCUUUAGGUUUUACACUAACCUCACUGCUUAUGUUUCACGGGGCAGGAUCGACCUUUUCUGUCACACAGUAAAGGAAAAAAUAAACUGUACAGAAACCCUGAAUAACACUACUGUAUGUGUGUUUAGUCCUCAGUGCCCUUUCCUGGAACAAUAGGUUGGAGGUUAACAGCGUGACUAAAUCCACUCUAUCACACACUGGGAGUCGGAGUUAACAUUUCAGAUGUACUCUCCUUUACAGCUCUUUCUUGUUCUAUCCAGAACAUGAGAAAGUAGAAUAAACCGGUGUGUGUUUUAAAGCAUGACAGAUAAGAGCUUCAACAGAGUGACUCAGAGUCACUAAAAGUUUAAAAUAUUUUGUGUCUGAGAGCGGCUGUGCACUGAGGUUAAGGCAGAUCAGCGAGUAACCACAGCUCCAAACCCAGACAGGAAAGCAGACAGUGUGACAGCUCAGUCCUCAUAGUGGCAGCCAUAAACAUGUCUUUCUGGUGUGGUAACACAGUCAUCAGAGAAUAUACAGAAUAUUAAAUAUGCAUAAAUAUGCAUUUGGUUCAUGUGAAUUAAACCCUGAUGUGUUUUCCUCUCAGUGUGGUUUGUUUGUGAAGUUGAUAACACGGCAAUCUAACUCGGGCGUGGACUAAAAUAACAGGUUCGAUUGCAGCGAGGCAGCGAUUCAACCCUGAAUCGACCCAACUGCAGGGAGCAGUAGUUAUUUAUAUCGUUAUCCGGUUGUUUUCUUGCGAUUUUUACGGUUUCUAACCUCACUUGGCAAAGAUUUGUUUACCUUUUUCCUUUGCCAUAUUUCUGACCGGUGAUGUUUUUUGGUUGUGUAGUGUGAAAUCAAACCAAUCUAAAUAGUAAAUGAGCCAAAAGACUCAAUUUCGCUCUGAUUCAGACUUGGCAAAUGGACUAACGGUGUAAAUGCGCCCAAAGAGGGCGUGAGCGAGGUGGUCUACUUCCAAAUGACUUGCAGGAAGUGAAGCCGACAUGCCGCGUGUUCUGGGUCGCGGUUUUUAUUUUUGUAGUGUAGCGCCGAGCUUGGAAACUGAGCUGCGAAGAGCAAUCGGAGCCAAAAGACCGAGCUGUAGAACUGUAGACGUGUGACGUGUUCUAGAUAUUUGGAUCAAUUAACAAAAAAGUAGAACUUGAGACCAACCAUCAAAAAGUCUAGUCCUUCUUGUUACUCAUUUGGAUGCCAGUAACUUCCUUUAAAAUAGACUUCAAACUGACAAAAAGCUAUUCCAGACAUUUGACCCUGAUCUUGCCCCUGCUUGGAUCGAUUCCAAAAUCUAAACACUUCCUUCUUCUGCUGGUUACAGUGAUUCAACAUUCAACCAAUAGUGCUUGAGAUAUCGAGUGAACAAGAAUCUUGGAAGCAUAUGCAUACACAAAACAUUUAAACUAGCGAUGUAUCUUUUAUUUAUUACUGGCUCUGUGCUCGUCAUGCUCGGGUAAUUGCUGUCGUAUUUUUGA